rnacentral:lncRNA from 1 species
AGCAGCCUCCGCCUGAUCGGUCGCCCGUCCACUCGUUGUCGCCGCUGCCCUCCGCCGUUCACCGUCGUGCGUCCGCGCGAAGCCGCGCGCCAGCUCGCCGGUCGGCUCGCACUCAGCCCGCGCAUCCAGCUCGCCGCCGCCGCCGAAGGGUCGCCGGAGCUGCCGCCUUGCCCGCAUGAGCUGCCGCCGCCCUCCUCCGCCCAUUCCGGCGCCGGAUCCGCCGUUCUCGGCCCCAAAUCAG